rnacentral:misc_RNA from 1 species
CAACCCUCAAGCCCCCCCGGGGGCUUGGUGUUGGGGACCGGCCCUGCCUCGUCGCGGGCGCCGCCCCCCAAAUCCAUUGGCGGUCUCGCCGCAGCCUCCUCUGCGUAGUAAUUUUGCACCUCGCACCGGAGCGCGGCUCGGCCACGCCGUAAAACCCCAACUUCUGAAAUG